AAAGCUGGCACCUCCGGUGUCCGCGUUGUAAUCUCGAGACGUGUUUUCCGUGCGGCUCUAUGGACAAGUCCCUUGGAAUAGGGCAUCGUAGAGGGUGAGAAUCCCGUACUUGCCAUGGAAGAACCGUGCUUUGCGAUACACGCUCUAAGAGUCGAGUUGUUUGGGAUUGCAGCUCAAAAUGGGUGGUAGACUCCAUCUAAAGCUAAAUAUCGGGGAGAGACCGAUAGCGAACAAGUACCGUGAGGGAAAGAUGAAAAGCACUUUGGAAAGAGAGUUAAAAGUACGUGAAAUUGUCGAAAGGGAAGCACUUGAAGUCAGCCAUGCUGCUUGAGACUCAGCCUGGCCUUUGGGCUUGGUGUAUUUCUCGGUGGCAAGCCAGCAUUGGUUUGGGUCGUCGGAGAAGCGCAUAGGGAAUGUAGCGUUUCCGGACGUGUUAUAGCCUUAUGCAGGAUACGACGACCUGGAUCAAGGAACGCAGUGUGCCCUCUG
rnacentral:rRNA from 1 species